CCUUGCCGUGGGCUGCAGCUUUACGGCGCUUCAGCUCGACGACGGACGCGGCUGAGCAUCGUUGGGCGGUGAGGGGGAGGCGGCGCUACUGGGGCGAAAGCGGCCGCGGUUCCUGUGCAUGCGCCUCGACCUCCGCCGUGCUCUGCCUUCUCCCUGGACCCACGCUGGGAGCAAGUGCGUGAGCAGCUCCGCGCCGGCAUCAACGCUGCCCACAGCGCCGCCUCCCAGGACUGCCGCAUGCCGCUGGGGCCCCGGCCCCGCAGCCCCCGCACGCGGCGGUCUCCGAGAACCACCGCGACCCUCACUCGCCGCUGCCCCGGUCUCCGAGAACCGCCGCGAACCCUGCUCGCCGCUCGCUGUGGCUGCCCUGUGUUGGCGAGGGGACGGGGGUCACCACAACGACGCUUCGAGCCUGCGAACGAUCCAUUUUUCCGUUCCAUGUGACGAAGGCUCCAGCCGAGGAGACAAAAGAUCGAAAGAUGUGCUAGGCCGAAUAAAACAACAGAAAACGGCCCAUCAACAAAUCCGCGCGCGUCCCGUGGCUUAUAGGGUUUAGGCUGAACUUUAGCCGCAGCUCUAAUCAACCCCCUUGAUUCCGCGUGACCCCGACGCGAAGCACCGCGGGGUCCUCCCGGAGUCCCCCCGAUCCCCAUUCCCGACCUCCUCUCGCAGCCUCCUCCGGCGAUGGGGCGACGAUUUAAGGGGCGUACAGCCUCCAGUAUAGGUGCUUUCAGAAGAUUAGGUAUCAAAGUUGAUGGAUAAUGCACCUAAAUAUUAUGGUGUUCUGUCGAUGGCCCUUAGCUUGAGAACCUACAAGAAGAUUCGGUCUGCCUAUCGAGUUAGGAUUGAGAAGAAAAUAUUGUUGGAGUCCUUAAUUAGGAAAGCUAAGGAAGCGUGUGAAGCAGAACAAGUCCAAGCGUGUGAGAAGGGUAAGGUGCACGGAGAGUCAGAGCAAACUCCUCAAGAGCGUGUGAUGUUUGCUAAUCUCUGCAGGAUGAUUUUACCUGUGAUCUCUGCAUCUAAGCCACCUUAUGUGAAUGAGCUUCCUCUGCUGAAGGGUCUCAAGAGAUCCUGGGACUCUGCUUUUGAGCCAAAUGUGCUCAAUAAGUGAAAGCUUAUCACUUGGUGAGACUGGGAGUAGGAGGAUUGCAAGAAUUUCUGGAGCCCAGCCUUCAACUUCCAAAGCCAUUGUGCCAUAUAAGCCUUUUCCUCAUGCUGUGCUGCUGAAUCAGAACAUUGAUGUUGAUAAUAUGGAUGAUCACAACAUUAAUCUGGGCAUAUCUACACUGCCUCCUCCUUUGACUGAAUCUGUAGAGCAAGUUGAAGUUCUUGGGAUAGAAGCUAGUCCCUUAGGUUCAGUUGGUGAUGGCAAGGAUGAAGCAGAACUACUUUCAGCUGAGCAUUCAGAGCAGAAUAUGGUUAAUAUUAUAGAGAAUGAAUUAGGCAAAGUGAUCAGGCGCAGUCCAAGGAUCGAAUCCUGCUUAUCGCAUUGGAGAGGUGGUGCAAGGCGAGGGAGUUCACUAUGCCUGACCUUUUAAGCAUUCAUAGAUUUUUGUUUUGGUGGUCAAGCCUUCGUAUAUUGUAGCGGCUUGAGGCUUGUUGGUCAGCUGGACAAAAGCAGACCAGUUUCUGCGACGACAUAAUCUUUAUGAGGUUAAGUUCUGGAGUGAUGGUGGUUAUACACUUCUAUUCCCAAUAGAAAAGUGGGGGUAUCGUUCUGAAAAUUAAUGGAGGUAGUAAGAGGUCACAAAAGGAAAACAAGAUAACGGAUGAUAGGGCAUGCACACCAAGCAAACAACAUAUAUAACAGAGAAUACACCGAUAAUGGGUUGACAAAUUGCACUUUUAUAUAUAACAGUAGAAAUGCCCGUGCGAUGCUACGGGUCCUUACUUGCUCUCACGUUAUAAUUCGCUUGUUCCUAAUAUAUUGGUUUCGCUUCACAA